rnacentral:rRNA from 1 species
ACAGCAGUAGCCGCGGUAAUACGUAGGUGGCAAGCGUUAUCCGGAAUUAUUGGGCGUAAAGCGCGCGUAGGCGGUUUUUUAAGUCUGAUGUGAAAGCCCACGGCUCAACCGUGGAGGGUCAUUGGAAACUGGGAAACUUGAGUGCAGAAGAGGAGAGUGGAAUUCCACGUGUAGCGGUGAAAUGCGUAGAGAUGUGGAGGAACACCAGUGGCGAAGGCGACUCUCUGGUCUGUAACUGACGCUGAGGAGCGAAAGCGUGGGGAGCGAACAGGAUUAGAUACCCCCGUAGUCCCUGUCUCUUAUAC